GUGGGGAAUAUUGGACAAUGGGGGGAACCCUGAUCCAGCCAUGCCGCGUGUGUGAAGAAGGCCUUUUGGUUGUAAAGCACUUUAAGCGAGGAGGAGGCUACCGAGAUUAAUACUCUUGGAUAGUGGACGUUACUCGCAGAAUAAGCACCGGCUAACUCUGUGCCAGCAGCCGCGGUAAUACAGAGGGUGCAAGCGUUAAUCGGAUUUACUGGGCGUAAAGCGCGCGUAGGUGGCCAAUUAAGUCAAAUGUUAAAUCCCCGAGCUUAACUUGGGAAAUGCAUUCGAUACUGGUUGGCUAGAGUAUGGGAGAGGAUGGUAGAAUUCCAGGUGUAGCGGUGAAAUGCGUAGAGAUCUGGAGGAAUACCGAUGGCGAAGGCAGCCAUCUGGCCUAAUACUGACACUGAGGUGCGAAAGCAUGGGGAGCAAACAGGAUUAGAAACCCUUGUAGUCC
rnacentral:rRNA from 1 species